rnacentral:rRNA from 1 species
CUGCUGCCUUCCGUAGGAGUUUGGGCCGUGUCUCAGUCCCAAUGUGGCCGUUCACCCUCUCAGGCCGGCUACUGAUCGUUGCCUUGGUAGGCCAUUACCCCACCAACUAGCUAAUCAGACGCGGAACCAUCGUAUACCACCAGAGUUUUUCACACCGCUUCAUGCGAAGCUGCGCGCUUAUGCGGUAUUAGCACCUAUUUCUAAGUGUUAUCCCCCAGUAUACGGCAGGUUUUCCACGCGUUACUCACCCGUCCGCCA